GCCCCCCGAAUUGUGGUCUAGAAAGGCGCCAUCGGCCGCGCCCGCCGCUCAAAUCCCUUGGAACAGGGUAUCGGAGAAGGUGAGAAUCCUGUGCCGUGGCGGGCCGCGGCCGCACGAUGCGUCCUUGUCGAGUCGGGUUGCUUGGGAUUGCAGCUUGAAGUGGGUGGUAAAUUCCAUCUAAAGCUAAAUAUGGGCGAGAGACCGAUAGCGAACAAGUACCGUGAGGGAAAGAUGCAAAGAACUUUGAAAAGAGAGUCAAAGAGUGCUUGAAAUUGGCGGGAGGAAACCCGGUUGUGCCCAGCCUUGGCGCGUCGACUCAGCCGCGUGUUUGCGCGGUGCACUUUGACGCGCCGGGUCAGCCGCCGCCCCGCGGGCGCCACAAGGCCGCAUGGGAGGCUCCGGCAACCUGCGUUCUGGCGCGCGUGGAGCGCCGGCUGACGGAAUGGGCGCCACCGACCCGUCUAGAAACACGGACCAAGGAGUCUGACACGUGUGCGAGUACCCGGGCGGCAACCCCGCGUGCGCAAUGAAAGUGAAGGGCAUGCCCUGCCAACCGACCUUGAUCUGCUGUGAAGGGUUUGAGUGGAGCACACCUGUCGGGACCCGAAAGAUGGUGAACUAUGCCUGAGGAGGGUGAAGCCAGAGGAAACUCUGGUGGAGGCUCGUAGCGAUACUGACGUGCAAAUCGUUCGUCGAACUUGGGUAUAGGGGCGAAAGACUAAUCGAACCAUCUAGUAGCUGGUUCCCUCCGAAGUUUCCCUCAGGAUAGCUUGAGCGCCUUGAUCGGUUUUG
rnacentral:rRNA from 1 species